GUUAAUAGGAGUCUAGUGUCCCGGUUCAACAUCCGAACGAUCCCAACUCCAGCAAAAAGAUUUUUGAUUAAAGAUGCCGGAUGAAAGAAUGAAUGAUACUGAUGAAGAAAUGCAUACCGGAAAAGAAGAAUCUUACGGGUUAGAUGAAACUGUAUCGGUAACACCUAGUAUUAACCCGAUGAGAAACUAACCUCCUAGAGCAGAAAGAAGAAACGAUAAAGAUGAUUCUAACACAUUAAGAAAAAU